GAUGAACGCUGGCGGCGUGCCUAAUACAUGCAAGUCGAGCGAACGGACGCGAAGCUUGCUUCUCUGAUGUUAGCGGCGGACGGGUGAGUAACACGUGGAUAACCUACCUAUCAGACUGGGAUAACUUCGGGAAACCGGAGCUAAUACCGGAUAAUAUUUUGCACCGCAUGGUUCAAAAGUGAAAGACGGUCUUGCUGUCACUUAUAGAUGGAUCCGCGCUGCAUUAGCUAGUUGGUAAGGUAACGGCUUACCAAGGCAACGAUGCAUAGCCGACCUGAGAGGGUGAUAGGCCACACUGGAGCUGAGACACGGUCCAGACUCCUACGGGAGGCAGCAGUAGGGAAUCGUCCGCAAUGGGCGGAAGCCUGACGGAGCAACGCCGCGUGAGUGAUGAAGGUCUUCGGAUCGUAAAACUCUGUUAUUAGGGAAGAACAGAUGUGUAAGUAACUGUGCACAUCUUGACGGUACCUAAUCAGAAAGCCACGGCUAACUACGUG
rnacentral:rRNA from 1 species